rnacentral:rRNA from 1 species
CAAAGGUAGCACAAUCAUUUGUCUAUUAAUUGUAGACCUGUAUGAAAGGCAAAAUGAGAGCCCAACUGUCUCUUGUAACAAAUCAAUUAAACUGAUCUCCUAGUACAAAAGCUAGAAUACUAACAUAAGACCAGAAGACCCUGUGAAGCUUUAACUAACCUACUAAACCAAAUAAUAGCUACUUUAGGUUGGGGCGACCUUGGAAUAAAAAAGAACUUCCAACCUAUGACUUUCUCAUAAAUAAGGCAAACAAGCCAACACAAGACCCAGCACUGCUGAUAAUCGAAACAAGUUACUCCAGGGAUAACAGCGCUAUCUUCUUUAAGAGCCCAUAUCAAAAAGAAGGUUUACGACCUCGAUGUUGGAUCAGGACACCCCAGUAGUGCAACCGCUACUAAAGGUUCGU